AAUGAUUAUUAUAAUUAAAUAGCCGCGGUACCCUGACCGUGCAAAGGUAGCAUAAUCNNNNNNNNNNUAAUUGGUGGCUAGUAUGAAUGGUUUAAUGAGAAUAACACUGUCUCUUUUCUAAUCUAUUGAAACUACCUACUAGGUGAAAAGGCCUAGAUAAUCUUACAAGACAAUAAGACCCUAUCGAGCUUCAGGUUAAAAUCUAUUACAAAACAAAAUAAAAAAGAAAUUAUACCUUUAGUUGGGGCGACUAAGGAACAAACAAAACUUCCUAAAGUAAACAUACUCACAAGUUAUGAUCCGGAAAUAAUCCGACAAAAAAAGCUACCGUAGGGAUANCAGCGUAAUUUUCUUUGUGAGCUCUUAUUAAAAAGAAAGUUUGCGACCUCGAUGUUGGAUUAAGGUAUCUCAAAGACGCAGCAGUCUUUAAAA
rnacentral:rRNA from 1 species